CGGAAGUAUAAAACACUGGCCUCCCGGAGCUAAGCUAAACUGUUCACUCACUGCGAUGAUGAGCACACCCACUGACGUGAGCGGCUUGCUCUGUGACUGUGUUAUUAUGGGCCUGGAGGAGAACCCCGACAAGGAAAAGCAGCAGAAUCCAAAUCCCCCAGAGACCUCUUGAAUGCAUUUACUCUACACACUGUGGCACUGGAAACCUCUUGAGUACCAUUCAGGAGUUCAGGCAUGGAUACUGAAGAAAAAUGCUGUAACCUGCCUCAGUUACAUAAUCCUCUACGAAAAGAAAGUAACAGGUUACAAAGUGCCAUUAAAAUAACUGAAACUCUUUCCUAAUGUGAAUAUAUAGAAUCUUCAAGUAGAAGGACAGCAAUCACAUGGGAACAUAUGUUUCAUGGUCAGUAUCUUUUUUUUUCAG
rnacentral:lncRNA from 1 species